rnacentral:lncRNA from 1 species
CCAAAUCCUUCAUUGCAACUUUACUUCUUGUUGUCACAAUGUCAAGCAUGAGCCUAGAAGCUCGCCAUCUUUUGCAAACUACCACACAACCAAAUUUACCAGCCAUUCCCACUUUACCAAAACCAACAACAUUACCACCUUUACCUUCAAUUCCAAAUAUGCCUCAAGGAAAUCUUCCUCCAUUGCCUACUAUCCCUUCUAUGCCUAAACUCACUAUGCCACCACUUCCAAGUCUUCCUACAAAUAUUCCAACAAUUCCAUCUCUCAACAUUCCACCAUUGCCAGCAGUCACUUCACUUCCAAACCUUCCUUCAAUCCCAACCACUUUCCCCUCCCCACCACCUUCAACCUCUAGCCCUUAAACACUUCUUUCCAAGUUGCAUUAUGUGAUCAGCUAAAUACAUGCAAUAGACAUUGCAUCAUUUCUUGAUUGUGUGUGAUGAAAUUGUACGAGGUUAUGAUGAUUGUUGUAUCUUUGUUUUAUUGUACGGAGUAAAAAGCCUUUGUAUUUUUUUCUUUUCUACUUACCAGUUUGGUACUAUUGCUUGUACUUUUGAAUUUAAUUUAUUGAUGUUGAAUACACAUACACAUUUAUAUACAAUUAUGAUGAAUUCUUUCUUGUUUAUGACCACUAUAUCUCAUAAAGGAUAGACUAAACUUAAUAAUUUGCGGUCCAAUAACAAACAGAUUCGCCUAUGUUAGCCAAUUUAUAUAGUGAACUGUUCUCUUUCCAUUUGUUUUUGUUCAUUCACCUCGAACAUGAGUUAACUCAAGUUGAAAAAUACACCUACGUGAGUUAACUCACGUUGAAAAUGCACAUGUGUGAGUUAACUUACGCUCGGUUAUUUUGAUGGGAACGAGCAAAAACAGAUAGGAGAAGGGCGAUAACCAUUUAUAUAAGGCACUUUCUUUUUCUCAUCCUAUUAAUUUAAGAUCAUCCACAAGAGAGCACCCCACAUUGGGUGCUUAAGUGAGUCCCCUAUGUCCACAUCAUCAAUUUUAUGAUAAUACUUAAUAAGCAUCAAUUUUUUCCAAUCGAGUACCUCAAAAGAAAUUAUUAAAAGGUCCCACAAAUAACUCUAUAUUAUUACAUUUCUACCAAAAUUUAUUCAUUUUACUAAGAUUUAUUAGAUGGGACCCAUGAAAAAUGAAGAGAGAGAGAGAGGGGUGGAGGGUGCUUCUAUAGCCACCCUCCUCCAUAGACACCCAUAUGUUACACUCCACAAUGAGGGUGCUUAUUUAAUAUGGUGCACGUGCUAAAUAGGUGAAACACCCACCAUUGUGGAUGGUCUUACACAUCCUAUAGAUUUCGGAUUUUAUAAAUCGUAUGAUUUUAUAAAAAUACGACACCUGACACCCCUAUAAUAUGGGAGAGGAUCCAAUUCCUUGAUGAGGAAUGAUUUAUGGACACAUUUUUCAAACACAAACACCUAAAGCAUACGAUUAAAGAGCUCCUUUAUAUGAAGCAUAGACCACCCACUCUUGUUUCUUUUCAUUAUGAAAUUAUGAAAAGAUAACAAGAGGAUGAUUAAUAAGCCCAAUCUGUUAUUUUAUUUUUUAAUUUUAUUCACUUAUUUUAUUUUUAUCACUUUAUAUUAGUUUUUCACAUAAAAUUUCAUUUCCUUAUAAAAUUUUGUGUAAUCAUUACUUGAUCAAAAAUAACAUAUUAUAUUUAUAAGAUAAGAUUUUUAUUUUUAUAAUCCUUAAUCAAUGCCAUGAGGGCACUGGAAAGCAAAUAUGUAGAAUUUUUAAUGGAUUAAAAAUCGAAUAAAUUUUUAACCCUUUUUUUUAAGCCAAAUUAUUAGUAUUAAAAGAAACUUUUUAAGUCAGUUGCUUUGAGACAAAAAUGAAAAAUUUAUCUAUAUUUUCGUCCUCUUCCUUGAAAGUCUUUCACUAAUCCGGUAAAUAUAAUUAGUUUGUAAAUUAGCAUUGGACAGAAGGAAAUAAUAAAGUGGUAAAUGUCUUUCACUCCCCUCCCGUGUGAAGUUAGUGUAGCACGGGGACGGGUUCAAUCAAUCAUUCAUUCAUUUUAAUCAAUUCUUCACCCCAUUCUAACACAUGUUUUUCAGGAUAGAACCAACCAUGUCAUCAACAGCACAAUCCCAAUAAAACCCCAAUUCACCACAAUUACCAAACUCUCCUCUCCUCUCCUCUCGCCACUGUCAACUGACACUGAUGACGUAAAAUUCCACCAUUAUCAUCAAAACUCCAUUAUCGUCAAUUCACCACCACCACCGCUAUGGAGGGUGGAAACAGAGCUGAAGCUGAACGGUGGCUUUACACCGCCAACAAACUCCUAAGCGCACGUGAUCUGCACGGUGCACGCUCCUUCGCGAUCCGUGCCCGAGAAUCCGACCCAACCUUCGACGCCUCUGAGCUUCUCUUAGCUGUCAUCGACACUCUCCUCGCCGGAGAAUCACGGAUCAAUGAUCACCACCGUGAUUGGUACGGAAUUCUUCAAAUUCUCCGAUACACCACCAACAUCGACCACAUCGCGAAUCAGUAUCGCCGACUUGCUCUCCUCCUUGACCCUAAUCGUAACCCAUUCGCUUUCUCCGGUCAUGCUUUCUCCCUUGUUCAUGAUGCUUGGUCUGUUCUUUCAAAUCCUGCUAAGAAAGCUAUGUACGAUAGUGAUCUAAGGUUGCUCACUACACCACCGGUUCCGUCACAGCCUCAGCCACAACUGGCUCCUCAGUAUCAACAACCUCCACAACAGCCACUGCAGCAGCCUCCACAGCCAACGCCGAGGAAAAACUCUAGAUCGAGGGAUAGCACUGGCGCCACCGCCACCGAGCCGACACUGUCUCGACAGAAUCGGAACCCUAGCGAGGCAGGUGAGACGACUCGGCAGACGCGAAUAGCGAGUGCUGCUGAAACGGUAGGUAACAUAAGUUUUUGGACAUUGUGCCCUUACUGUUACGUUCACUAUGAGUAUCCGAAGGAGUAUGAAGAUUGUACCUUACGGUGUCAGAGUUGUCGGAGGGGGUUUCAUGCGGUUGUGAUACGUUCACCGCCGGUGAAUGAGAUAGAUUCUUCGUUUUGUACUUGGGGAUUUUUUCCAUUAGGGUUUUCUGGUGAUUCUAAAGAUUUGAAUGGGGCUUCUUCCAAUUGGAACCCUAUUGCACCGUUGUUUCCGUGUACGAUGAAAGGAUCGUCUAAUAGGAAAAAGAAUUGGGUUUAUUAUGAUGAAGAGGCAACUGCGGCGUUUAUUGAUAUUUCUGAUCCCAGUGAUAAUGAUUCUGAUGAUGGGGAUUGGAGAGGUGGUGCUGGUAAGAGGAGAGGGGUGAAGAGCUCAGGGGUUAGUACUAGUAAAAAGAUUAGGAAAGAUUCCGGUAAUGCUAGUGGUAGGGGAGCUGUUGGGAGACCUAGGAGGAGUGCUACUGGUGCUGCAUCUGGGAAUGAGAAGAAUGUUGGGGCUGUUGAUGAUGCUUCUGCCGCUGCCUCUGGUGUAAGGGCAGAUGCCAAUACCAUUAAGAAAGCUGCACUGGGUAGUUCCAGGAGGAGGGGUGCUGGAAACUUGGAUUUGAAUGUGGAGUUCAGUAAUGAUGUGGAGGAGCCGUCCCGUGGAGUGCGUGCCCGUGAAGGGAAUGCAACUGGCAAUGCUGAGGAUAAUAUUGAUGGGGUUGGGUUUUUUGAGGGUCUUGAUGAGUUCCUUAGUAGCUUACCCAUUCUCAAUCCGGUGGGAGAUGAUAAGGUUAAGGGUCAUUAGCCAUUUUGUAAUUUAGAUGCUUUUACUUUUUUAUUUUCGUAGACCAUAGAUGUUAUUACUUGUAUGUUUGCAAUUGUAGCUCAAAAUGAUCUGAGCUAUUGUGAAUUCUUGUUGUUGUUAGAUUUUAUUUAAAAUUAUGACAGCAUCUCAGUACAUUAUAGCUUUUGAAGUAUUUGAGGAUUGCUUCAUGACAUGUAGAUUAUAUUGUACCAUUAAGGAAGGAGACAUAGAUUGUUUUUUUUUUAAAGAAAGUCAGGUACACACUCUCUCAAUAACAGGGCAAUAAUGAGUGUAUUUCGGAGUUUUACCUAGCCCUAAACUCCGCUUUGUAUGCGCGGCAAUCCAGAUAAUAAUAUAUACAUUUGUAUUGUCUGAUCUGAUUGUGCUCUACACUAUGCUUGUUAGCAACUAUUUUGUACACAACAUUCACCAUCACAUGCUAGUUUUUUUUUUUUUUUUUGGAUAUUUUGUUUUUAUUUAGCUCUGUUGUUUUCUUCUUGAGUGUUGUGUGGUGUGGCUUUGCUCUGUUGUAAGUUUGAGGUCACCAGCAAGUCUAGUCUUCUUUUCGUUUCAUCACAUCCUUUUCAAGUCUGUUUGGUCCAGGCUUGAAAACACCAAGCCUUUGUUUUAAAAGGCAGUUUCUGGGUGCAGUGAUAUCUGUUAGGUCAUUGGUCUUGUUAGGCUGUUAGCCAAUGUUUUAGCAUUUUCAACUGCUAACAGUUUAACCAACUUGCAUUUGCUUGUGUCUCCAAUAUGACAUUGGUUUUUUCAGCUAAUUUUGAAUUGCUGGGUUUAUGGAUCAUGGUUUUUCUAUUUCCAAAAUUUUAGUGGAUGAGUAAUGAUUUUUCAGUUUAAACAUUAGGUUCUGAAUCCUGAUGAAGCAUUUUGCCAGGUGCUAAUAAGCAAUUUAUUUAGAGUUAUUUUCUUGACUGCAAUCGUAAAUGAGGUCAGAAUAAGUUGUAUGCUCUAUCGGCAUUACAUAAGGUGUCAUCUACAAUAAUACCUUAUCAUGAACAGGGAUCUUCGAAGGUGUUUAAUGAAUAUUUGAAAGAAUCACCUUUGUUCAAUGGUGUGUUUUGUUAAUUUGCCGGCAUUUCAUGUAGGGAUGUGGUGGAUAUUAUCUUUGUAUAGAUGGUUUAUAUUCUGUCUUAACUAAAUGGUACAAUAUUCUUAUAUGUUGUGCUCUAACUCAGUAGCAUACUAGGUCUAAGCAAAGAAUACAUCUUUGUGAGGCCCCUAAAUAGAUUGAAGAAACAUAAGAACAUUGAGAUUCCUUGUUACUUGUUCUCACAUUUGAAAGAAAGGUUGUUAGGGGCAACGUCUAUAGUGGAGAAAAUACAAGCACUUAUAUGCUGUGUUCUAAGAAGCAUACUGGGUCUAAGCAAAAUAUAUAUCUCUGUGAGGCACCUAAAUAGAUUGAAGAUACAUAGGAGCAUAUAGAUUUGGCAUCUAUUGUUGAGAAGAUCAUAGAAUCUCAAACUAAGUGAUUUGGGUAAGUGUAAAGUUCUAUAUAAGCCCUGUAAGGAGAGGCAGAGGGAGACCUUGAAGCUUGAAGAAUAUAAAUCAAUCCACUUAGCUUAUGUUUGGUGAGUUGCAUGGACGUAUGUCGUCACCGUGACUUUUCAUUCUUCAAAACAUACACUAAGAAGAAUUUGGAUCCAAAUGGUAAAAACUCAUCCUCGUAGGACAUUAUGACAUCAUUUUAUACACACACUAUAGAACGACACAAUGAAUGUAUAUUAUUUAUUCUGCAUAUUUGUAUGCUGUUUGCAUGUUGUUUAUUCUAGCCUAUAUGUAUGUGUCUUGCUGUGAAUAUGAAGGAUUGUGUUAGAACAUCCUAAACUACACUUCAAGCAUGUUGAUUUGAAAUUAUUUAUCUCAGUAUGCUGAACGCUUAGGUACCCUGAAAGUACCAACAAUCGGUUUAUUUCUGGGUUUUACUACUCUGUAUAUGGCCACACUAGUUUAAGUAGAUUGUUAGACAUUGCUUUGCAAAGAAAAUGGUUGUAAAUCUGUGUAUGGCAUCUAUUGAAGACAAAAUAUAUUCGUCCUAUAAUACUUGUCUCUUCUAAUUUUUUUGGGUGCAUAAUUAAUGCCUCUGUUUGAAGGAUGCGUAUCUCCUGCAGUCUCAAAAACACUGUAUUUACACAAUCAAGUUAUCCUCCUCCAACGAUGCACAUUAGUUUGUUUGUUGUUAUAAGAGUUUAAAAGAAGACAUUGUAGCUGUAUCUAAAUGUGUAAUUCAACAUCAAUAAUAUAAAAUUCAAUAGUACAAGCAAUAGUGCCAAACUGGUAAGUAGAAAGAAAGAAAACAAAUACAAAGGCUUUUUACUCCGUACAAUACAACAAAGAUACUACAAUCAUCAUAACCUCGUAGAAUUUCAUCACACACAAUCAAGAAAUGAUACAAUGUCUAUUGCAAGUAUUUAGCUGAUCGCAUAAUGCAACUUGGAAAGAAGUGUUUAAGGGCUAGAUGUUGAAGGUGGUGGGGAGGGGAAAGUGGUUGGGAUUGAAGGAAUGUUGGGAAGUGAAGUGGCUGCUGGCAAUGGUGGAAUGUUGAGAGAUGGAAUUGUUGGAAAAUUUGUAGGAAAGCUAGGAAGUGGUGGCAUAGUGAGUUUAGGCAUAGAAGGGAUAGUAGGCAAUGGAGGAAGAUUUCCCUGAGGCAUAUUUGGAAUUGAAGGCAAAGGUGGUAAUGUAGUUGGAUUUGGUAAAUUGGGAAUGUUAGGCAAAUUUGGUUGUGUUGUCUGUAAAAGAUGGCGAGCUUCUAGGCUCAUGCUUGACAUGGUCACAACAAGAAGUAAAGCUAUGAUGAAGGAUUUGCUUGAUGCCAUUGAUAACCUUAUGAAUUGAUAGGAGCUAAGCAGUAUAUUUGUAUAUAGAGAAUUUGCUUUGAGAUUUUAUGAGAAGGAAAGGAGUAGUGGAUGGUCUUAUAUAUAGAGUAAGCAAGAUUUGAAGGAGGGUAGUUUGGAGAACAACUACGAGCUUUUGCAAUUUUUAUUUCUUUAGUUUGUUUAACUUCCUCUGUUUCACUUUGACAAAAUCAUUAUCCAGAUAGAUGGCUUGGCUUAAGACUAUUUGUUAUCUCCUGAAGGCUGUGGAUUUUUUUUUCACUCUUCUUCUAUUUUUUUUAUGUCUUAAACUUACAUUUUUUUUUUGUGACAAAACUCGACAUCAUUUUUAUAUACCUAAGCGUUGUGCGUUUCAAUUUUUAUUUUUUUUUGACAAAAACAAAAUGAUAUUCAUUCAAAUCGAGAGAUUACAUCAUUCAACACCGCUAAAAACGCAAAAGAUAAAUCUGCGAACACACUCACAGCAUCCAAGUUAAUAGCAUAUAAUGACACAAUGCCUACAAAAUUAUAUGAUAAAAUUAAAGUGACAGGAAUAUCCAUGGCCUCCGGAUCUGCAACGUUGACGCCCAAAUCUUUGAUUGAAUAAUCGAUCUUCAAAAUGAAUCAGAUGAACACCGCAAAAAGGCGGGAAAUCAAACAGCGCCGCACAAAACGACGAACAACAAACCACCACACUUAAAUGAUGAAAUCACAAAGAAAAAACUAGAUAUAUGUGAAAAUCACUUAUUUAGAUUGAAAUAUAGAGAAAAAGAUGAAGAUGAGUGAUUUCAGGUCAAUAAUUGACCCAAAACCACUCCUCGAUGAAAAAUCUAGAAGAGAAAACCUAGAGAGAGAAAACUAGGGCCGGCUUAACUUUCUAUGAUAUGAUGUGCUUUUCAAUUAUUUAUCUUUUAUUAUCUAAAAAAAAUGCUUAACCUCUGAGUUGAUUUAUUUUAAAAAAUAAGCUUCGACAGAUGCAAAUACAUUAGGAAGUCACUUGUUAUUUGAGUGUAUAAGAAUAUCUACAAUGGAGAAAUCUAUUUUUGGAUACCUAAAUAGAUUUUACAUGUACACAUAACUUAUUUAUAAUUUUUUAAUAAUAAUACAUAAUAAUUACUCAAUCCAUGCAAUUCAACAUCUAACAUAAAUUUGCUUAAAACACACCUACUAAUUAGAUUACCAACUCUUAGAUAUUACAUUCUGCUUGUAACUACAUAUUUUUUUCUCAGUCACCAAAUUCAUACAAAAAAUAUUUAAAAACACUUGUCAUUUUUUCCUCUUUUGCUCUUUGAAAUAUAUAUAAAAUAGAAAGAGUUGGCCAUCAUACAUUUGAGCGUUUAGAGUAGCCAACCAGUCUAACCAAAAAACCAUUUUGUCAAAUAGAAAGUUGAACUAACUAAAAAUUGCAAAAGCUCUUGAUGGUUCAUCCGAACUACCCUCCUUCAAAUCUCUCUCAAUCUAUAUAAGAUCACCCACUAUCCCUAUGCUUCUCAUCAAAUCCCAAAUCAAAUUCUCUCUAUACAAAAUAUACCCUCCUUAGGUCCUACAAUUAUUCAUCAUCAAACUAUCAAUGGCAAUAUUCAAAUCCUUGAUCACAACUUUACUUCUAGUUGUGACAAUAUCAAACAUGAGCCUAGAAGCUCGCCAUCUUUUGCAAACUACCACACAACCAAAUUUACCAACCAUUCCCACUUUACCAAAACCAACAACAUUACCACCUUUACCUUCAAUUCCAAAUAUGCCUCAAGGAAAUCUUCCUCCAUUGCCUACUAUCCCUUCUAUGCCUAAACUCACUAUGCCACCACUUCCAAGUCUUCCUACAAAUAUUCCAACAAUUCCAUCUCUCAACAUUCCACCAUUGCCAGCAGUCACUUCACUUCCAAACCUUCCUUCAAUCCCAACCACUUUCCCCUCC